rnacentral:tRNA from 1 species
GGCACUGUAGCUCAGUGGGUAGGGUGCUGGUCACAUACACUGAGGUUGGCAGGUUUGAAUCCUGCCUGGGCCA